GGGGAUUUAGCUCAGUGGUAGAGUGCUUGCCUAGCAAGUACAAGGCCCUGGGUUCGGUCCCCAGCUCCA
rnacentral:tRNA from 1 species